GACGAACGCUGGCGGCGUGCUUAACACAUGCAAGUCGAACGAUGAAGCCUUCGGGUGGAUUAGUGGCGAACGGGUGAGUAACACGUGGGCAAUCUGCCCUGUACUUUGGGAUAAGCCUUGGAAACGGGGUCUAAUACCGGAUACCACUUCUGACCGCAUGGUUGGUUGUUGAAAGUUCUGGCGGUACAGGAUGAGCCCGCAGCCUAUCAGCUUGUUGGUGGGGUAAUGGCCUACCAAGGCGACGACGGGUAGCCGGCCUGAGAGGGUGACCGGCCACACUGGGACUGAGACACGGCCCAGACUCCUACGGGAGGCAGCAGUGGGGAAUAUUGCACAAUGGGCGAAAGCCUGAUGCAGCGACGCCGCGUGAGGGAUGACGCCU
rnacentral:rRNA from 1 species